CCUACGGGAGGCAGCAGUGAGGAAUAUUGGUCAAUGGACGGAAGUCUGAACCAGCCAUGCCGCGUGCAGGAAGACGGCUCUAUGAGUUGUAAACUGCUUUUGUACAAGGGUAAACCUGAAUACGUGUAUUCUGCUGAAAGUACUGUACGAAUAAGGAUCGGCUAACUCCGUGCCAGCAGCCGCGGUAAUACGGAGGAUCCAAGCGUUAUCCGGAUUUAUUGGGUUUAAAGGGUGCGUAGGCGGAUUGAUAAGUUAGAGGUGAAAUGUCCGAGCUUAACUCGGGAACUGCCUCUAAUACUGGUGAUCUAGAGAGUAGAUGCGGUAGGCGGAAUGUAUGGUGUAGCGGUGAAAUGCUUAGAGAUCAUACAGAACACCGAUUGCGAAGGCAGCUUACCAAUCUAUAUCUGACGUUGAGGCACGAAAGCGUGGGGAGCAAACAGGAUUAGAUACCCGGGUAGUC
rnacentral:rRNA from 1 species